CCUACGGGUGGCUGCAGUGGGGAAUAUUGCACAAUGGGCGCAAGCCUGAUGCAGCCAUGCCGCGUGUGUGAAGAAGGCCUUCGGGUUGUAAAGCACUUUCAGCGGGGAGGAAGGCGUUAAGGUUAAUAACCUUGUCGAUUGACGUUACCCGCAGAAGAAGCACCGGCUAACUCCGUGCCAGCAGCCGCGGUAAUACGGAGGGUGCAAGCGUUAAUCGGAAUUACUGGGCGUAAAGCGCACGCAGGCGGUCUGUCAAGUCGGAUGUGAAGUCCCCGGGCUCAACCUGGGAACUGCAUUCGAAACUGGCAGGCUAGAGUCUUGUAGAGGGGGGUAGAAUUCCAGGUGUAGCGGUGAAAUGCGUAGAGAUCUGGAGGAAUACCGGUGGCGAAGGCGGCCCCCUGGACAAAGACUGACGCUCAGGUGCGAAAGCGUGGGGAGCAAACAGGAUUAGAUACCCCGGUAGUC
rnacentral:rRNA from 1 species